rnacentral:rRNA from 1 species
GUCUUGUGCAGGUCUCUUCUGGUCGCAAAUGCUGGCGAUUGCCGAGCUGUCCUUUCCCGGCGCGGCGCCGCAAUCGAAAUGUCCAAGGACCACAGGGCCUGCUGCCUGAAUGAAAGAAAGAGAGUUGAAUCCCUAGGCGGCUACGUCGACGACGGCUAUCUGAAUGGCCAGCUAGCGGUCACCAGAGCGCUCGGCGACUGGCAUCUCGAUGGCCUCAAGGAGAUGGGCGAGCCCGGAGGCCCGCUGAGCGCCGAGCCGGAGCUCAAGAUGAUCACGCUGACCAAGGACGACGAGUUCCUCAUCAUCGGCAGCGACGGCAUCUGGGACUACUUCUCCAACCAGAACUCGGUGGACUUUGCGCGGCGGAGGCUCCAGGACCACAACGACCUCCGGCGGUGCUGCAAGGAGAUCGUGGAGGAGGCGAUCCGGCGGGGCGCCACCGACAACCUGACGGCGGUCAUGGUCUCGUUCCACCAGGAGGCCCCUCCCCAGAUCAGGGUGAACAGGACGGGCAGGGUCGAGCGGAGCAUCUCGGCCGAGGGGCUCCAUAGCCUCAGGGUGCUCCUGGAAGGCCAGUGA